rnacentral:rRNA from 1 species
GAAAGACGGUCUUGCUGUCACUUAUAGAUGGAUCCGCGCUGCAUUAGCUAGUUGGUAAGGUAACGGCUUACCAAGGCAACGAUGCAUAGCCGACCUGAGAGGGUGAUCGGCCACACUGGAACUGAGACACGGUCCAGACUCCUACGGGAGGCAGCAGUAGGGAAUCUUCCGCAAUGGGCGAAAGCCUGACGGAGCAACGCCGCGUGAGUGAUGAAGGUCUUCGGAUCGUAAAACUCUGUUAUUAGGGAAGAACAUAUGUGUAAGUAACUGUGCACAUCUUGACGGUACCUAAUCAGAAAGCCACGGCUAACUACGUGCCAGCAGCCGCGGUAAUACGUAGGUGGCAAGCGUUAUCCGGAAUUAUUGGGCGUAAAGCGCGCGUAGGCGGUUUUUUAAG